rnacentral:lncRNA from 1 species
UCACAAUUGCCGGGAGGUCCUGCUCCCGCUACAAGUGACCUUUCUGGUUCAAGCAAGUCUCACCCCGUUCAAAGUGGCUUAGCUAAUAAACCAACUGGUAGAAAGCAAUAUGGGAAAAGAAAAGAAUUAGACCGUAUGUAUACUCCAUUUUGACUAUACUUUAAUGCUGACAUUUUCUUUUGCCUUUUUUUUUUGGAUUACACGGCAUUGAAAUUCCAUGCAUUCAUGCAGUCAGAACAUUGGUGGUUGUUUGAUCGGGAUUGGAUGGUGAAGAAGAUAUGAAGAUUGUGAUUUUUUUUUUAAUUUUUAAUUUUUUACAAAAUUGUGAUUUUUUUUAAAAAAAUCUAAAAUGGCGAGCUUAAAACCAGCACCGUCCAAUCUUGAUCAAACUGGUCACCAAUGUCUUGACUGCACGAAUGAAUGGAACGUGCCUGAUCUAGAUCAGUAGGUAUAACAUUUAAAGACUGCAACCAAUGAGAUCAGAAGGUAUAACUUUUUAUAAAAUCAAAAUAUACCUUCCAGUCACCGACUGCACGCAGUCACUGACUGCACAGGAUCCGUGUCCCCUCUUAAAACUAAUAUAUAUUUUCCUGAUUUCUGAAAAUAAUUAAAUCAAUGUAUUGGAUUUGGUCAACACAAGUAAAAUUAUACCAA